rnacentral:misc_RNA from 1 species
UGUACGACUCGGCACACUCACUGUCGACAUUCAAUUGUCACAACAUCGCCCCCGGCCACCUGGACAACACGAAAUUUGAAAAGUGCCAGCGGUGGCGGUCCCUUAUCAUUCAGUGUUAUCAUUCGCGAAAAUUUCUGUACGCGAGCGCCAGCCGAUCGGGCUCGAAGCAUCACGAGGGUGCGGCGGACGCACCGCCCUUAUCUGAACCCCCCUCCACGUUGAUCGGCGCCGUUAGACAGCCUCGCGACGUCGACCUGCUCGUAUGGUACUUGCACCAAUCAUAAACUGAUAACAUGAGUGCGGAAAGUUAAGUGAUUUUUUUUGUGGACAGUGACUUGUGUUGUGAUAACAUGUCUAGAAGAAAACAGGCCAGGCCGAUUCGACUUCUGGAGGAUGAAGAUCCUACGGCGGCUGUUUGUCCUUCUGCGACCAAUAAUAAUGGUGCAUUGCCUUCAAGAUUGCCUAGUAAUAGUGAUGGUGAUCCUGCAGAUACUACAGAAGCAACAAUAUCAGUUUCAGAUACACCAUGUAUCGACGUUCCUACCAUACCGGAAGAACUUCCAGAAGUCCUCAUGUGCCAGCGCUGCCAAGAACAAUUCACAGAAGUUCAAGAAUACGUCACGCACAAGGAAGAAUGUGACAAAAAGGCUAUUAAACACGAUGAUCCAGCACAUUCCGACCCGGAGGAUAUGGUAGUAUCAGAAGACGAUGAUGAUGAUGAAGAGACAGGCGGUAAAAGGUUAGAACGGAUGCGACGGAACCGACAAGAUGCUGCGAAUAAUAACAGCGUGGAGGAGAAUUCGCCAGAUGAAGAUAGUCAAAGAUUGGAAUUUCCGUUUCCUAUACCAGCGGCAGCUCCUGGACAUGUUACGCUGGAAGCAUUACAAAAUACCAAAGUUGCUGUAGCUCAGUUCGCAGCUACCGCUAUGGCCAAUAACGCUGAUAAUGAAGCAGCUUUACAGGAACUGGCAGUAUUACAGUCAACAUUAUUCACUUUACAACACCAGCAAGUACUUCAGUUGCAACUAAUAAACCAAUUACAACAACAAUUGCAAAUAGAUAGACGUAAAGAAGAAGAAGAAGCAGAAGCUACUGCAGCUUCACCAGCACCUUCCGAUACUGAAGUAGAGAAUACUCCAGUAGAAUCUCCGCCUCCUGCUCCUCAAGCGCUACCUGUAUCACGAGAACCUACACCGGCUUCUCUGCCUCCUCCUAUGCCAUCGAAUAUUCAGCCGUCACCAGCUGUAGAGCCACCAUUGCCUGAAGUUAAAACUCCAAUAUCAAUGCCUAUGCAAAUUCAACCUCCAAUGUGUUCUAUAUCUUCGUCUUUAGCAUCGACUAUUAUAACACAUAACGACGAACAAUUAUUAGAAGAACCAAAUACAUUAGAGAUGUUACAAAAGAGAGCACAAGAGGUAUUAGAUAGUGCCAGCCAAGGAUUGUUAGCCACCAACUUAGCAGACGAGUUAGCUUUUAGAAGGAGUAAAGGAUCCAUGUCUCCUUAUGACUCAAAAGGAAGGAAUGAACCGUUUUUCAAACAUCGGUGCAGAUACUGCGGGAAAGUGUUUGGUUCCGAUUCAGCAUUACAGAUACAUAUCCGUUCUCAUACAGGUGAACGACCUUACAAAUGCAACGUUUGCGGAAGUCGCUUUACAACAAAAGGAAAUUUAAAAGUACAUUUUCAACGGCACAGUCAGAAGUUUCCUCAUAUCAAAAUGAAUCCUAAUCCAGUACCCGAGCAUUUAGACAAAUAUCAUCCUCCAUUAUUGGCACAACUUGGACAACAAUCAUCGUUGUCUCCCGGAGGGCCACCGCAUCCACCACAUUUAGGAUUUCCAGGAGGUCCACAUUUUCCACCUACCUCUUUACCUCUGUUUAGGCCGCAAGGUCCUCCUCCGCCAGAAAUUCUCGGAAAUCGAUUGCCGCCUUCACCACAUAGACUGUUAGAUCCUCCUCCUCGAUUAUUUCCUCCACACCCGCUUUUUCUUAAACGUGAAGAACAAGAAACGCCGGCAGAUUUAAGCAAACCUCCGAGAUCACCUUCCCCAACUGAAGAUAAAGUUCAAAUGCCUGAACCUGAAGAAAACAAGGAUCGUGAGCCAAUGGAGGAGAGUAAGCCGCUGGUAAGCACCCCUCAAAUCACACCAAAACAAGAAAAUAAUUUUAUUGAAAAUGAACAUGAAAAUGAGCAUGAACGAUACUCGUCUUCUAUAGCUUAUGAUGAAUGUAGUAAUAGUAGUAAAUAUUCUAAUGAAGAUUUAUUAGAACAGAGAAGUCCUGGAGGGGAACCUUCUGAGAAUGUCCAAGACGAACCUGAAAACUUAUCUAGUAGGCAUAAUUCAAUAAUAGGUCCUUUAAGCAUAUCAACCGGACAAAGACUACCUGCAAACUUUUCAUUUGGACAUACUAGCUCUCCGCCUAGCAGUACGUCUUCUGGUAGUUUAGGUCACUUUCCCUCGCAUAUUUUGCCAGAUAUCACUAAAGAUCCAUCUCUUUAUACCAACCUAUUACCUAGACCGGGUAGCAAUGAUAAUUCUUGGGAGAGUUUAAUUGAAGUGACGAAAACUUCAGAAACUAGUAAACUUCAACAAUUAGUAGAUAAUAUAGAACACAAAUUGUCGGAUCCUAAUCAGUGUGUAAUAUGUCAUAGGGUUUUGUCCUGUAAAAGUGCGCUGCAAAUGCACUACAGGACUCAUACUGGUGAGAGACCUUUUAGGUGUAAAAUAUGUGGCCGCGCUUUUACAACCAAAGGAAAUUUGAAAACUCAUAUGGGAGUCCAUCGAGCCAAACCUCCAAUGCGCGUACUACAUCAGUGCCCCGUGUGCCACAAGAAGUUCACCAACGCAUUAGUUCUACAACAACAUAUCCGCCUGCAUACCGGAGAACCAACUGAUCUCACUCCGGAGCAGAUCCAAGCAGCAGAAAUCAAAGACUUUCCUUCCCCCGGUGGGUUUCCCAGCCUACCGAAUUCCAUUCAUCCAUUCCUUAGCCAAGGGUUUGCAGCCCCAGGUCUUUCGCCCAUAAGCGGCUUACCUAUGAAUAUGAGAUGUGAUCGAGACAUCAAGUCGGAGCACGGUAGCAUGGACGACGAUGACGAUGAUGAUGACGACGAUGCGAUGAGUUCUUUAGAUAACCAACACAUGCCACCAUUUUCUUCUUCGCCGUCAGAUAUACAAAACACUGGCAUGCCUGUGAAUACCAUAGCUUCCCAGUUUUCUGGAAGUGGACUGAGUUGUUCUGCGGAGGACUUAUGUUCAAAUCGUACCACGACACCACCACCCAUUCAAAAUGGCGAUAAGUCUCCUAGUCAAUCAGGGGUUACUAGUCCUGGGAGUGCUGAAUUGAGGUCCUCUCCAAAUCAUACUCCCGUCCAGAUUCCACGUCCUCCAUCAUCACAACAAGCCUGCAGUCCUGCACCAUCCGAUAAUUCGGUAGGAGCUUUAGACCUCACACCAAGAAGCCAACCUGCCAAUACAAGUCCUGGACCCUCCACGCCGAGUGGAACUCCAUCACUUUUUCCUUCGUUUGGACUUUUACCUUCAGGCGGUCAGUCACCUCUCAUGACGUCAGCACUAUCAUCGUUGACGUCAUCGGUUUUGACAUCGACGUCGUUCAGUCCCUUACGGCUAGCGGUCGGGCCGAUUGGUACUUUGGGGCGCGGAAACACCACCUGUAACCUUUGCUUCAAGACCUUCGCCUGCAACUCUGCCCUCGAAAUCCACUUCAGAAGCCAUACCAAAGAAAGGCCCUUUAAGUGCACCGUGUGUGAAAGAGGAUUUUCCACAAAGGAUGGGUGUCAUUGUACGCAGAGGCGUAUCCAGGAUGAAGUAGAAAACUGGAGAGCGCAAAAUCAAAAAUCGUCUCUGUUCAACUCCAUUUCUUCAGUAUUUUGUUUACCGAUGACGCCUGGAUACGCCUCGUCCAGGACAAAAAAGGCGGGCAACAUGAAGCAGCACAUGCUCACACACAAGAUCAGAGACAUGCCUCAGCACAUGUUCGACAAGCCUCCCAGUAUGAGCGGUGAUGACAGUACUCCGUUACCUCCCAGCUUGCCUAAAAUUGAGAAUUCUGCGAGUGAUAACGAGCAAUCUCAGCCACUGGCGCCAGUACCUCCACCCCAAGUUCUGCAACCACCCCAGCUGCCGCCGCCACCCGAAAAGCACGAACUGGAGUCGCAGCAAAUCAAAAGAGAACCUACUGAGACUGAACUUCCCCUACCGAAACGCCCUCCAAGCUUACAAUCGAGUAAGCACUUGUGCCACGUAUGCAAUAAGAACUUCUCGUCGAGUUCGGCCCUGCAGAUUCACAUGAGGACCCACACCGGAGACAAACCCUUUAGAUGUACAGUAUGCCAGAAGGCCUUCACCACCAAGGGCAAUCUCAAGGUUCACAUGGGCACACAUAUGUGGAGCAACGGGGCAUCUCGAAGAGGUCGGCGCAUGUCCCUCGACCUACCCCCCAUCCCCAUGACCCCCAAGGAUUCCGAAUUUCUACAGCGGAGGCCAGAUCUCUUUUACCCGUACCUCCCGGCUCCAUUCCUUAACGGAAUGCAACAGAAGCUGAACGAAAUAUCCCUAGUCCAGAACAAUCACAAUGGACUGACAGGAGCCGGCAAAUAUAGCGGUCUCCUCGGCUUCGGCUAUCCGCCGCCAGAAGCGAUCCGAUCUCAAGCAAACUCUCCCGAGCGGUCUGAGAGACCGCCGAGCCAUGAACCAGACACGAGAGGUCUGUGGGACCUCCAUUUCGAGAGGAAAAGUGCUGCCGACGCGCCCAGGGAAGAUCUACUGCCGCCGACAGCUAACAGGGAGGGAUUGGCUGCCUGAAAUCAGCGCCCCUGUGGCGCUAUUCCUACUUUGCUAGUCUAGAGUAAGGUGUUUCAGAUGGUGAAUCAAAAUUUUGUAAUGAGAGAUCAGAAAGGAAAGAACUGCAAUGGUUUCAUGCGUUAUAAUAUUUACUAUAUUUUCCUGAUAAUAUAAUAUAGGAAUGACAAAUAGUGAAAAUUUAAUAGUAAUAAAAAUACAAGGUAAACAUAUCAAAUUAAGUAAAAUAUUCUAUAAGUAUAAUUUUAAAGCUUGAGGUUGAUCAGAAUGUCCUAGGCUGUCCUAACAGUCUGUCCACAUGAAACAGAAACAUACCUAUGAUCAGAAUUCGAACACUUUAGCAGACAACAGAUUAGGAUAAAAUAUAGGAUGUUUAGAUAACUUUAACAUCGAAGUAAAAAGCUUAUUCGUUUUCGGACUUAUCAGUCCAUCUUCAGUGAAAUUAGGAAUACUUGCUCUAACAAUUGCAAAACCAAACAGUGGUUGGGUAUAAAUUGUUGUUUUUAUACUUAAAAGUAUUAAAUUAGCCGAGUAUAAGUCGAUAAAAAUAGAUAACUAUCCGGGAACUGCAUUCGUCCCUACUCGAAAGAGCAAAUUACAUCUGUAUUGGACCACUAUUGCCUGCCAACUGAUAAAAUAUUGCAUAGGUAUACUUUAGAUAACUAUUUCAUAAAAUAUUAAGGAAAUAUAAUAUUACUCCUAAACAAAGCUAUAAGGUAAAAUAAUGAAAGUUGAGACCCAAUUUAUUGUUAACGAAAGAAUAAAAUAAUUAGUUUAUUUAAACAUGUUUUUAAUGUGUAAUAGCCAUCAAACUGCGUCAUAAUACCACGAAUAUAAUGUCCUCAACCGAUAAAAUUAAUUUUACAUCACUUUAUAUGAAAUGCCGCUCACGUAAAUCUAUAAAAUGAUUGGUAGGUACGUCAGUAUUUUAAUGACCAACUUUUUACUAUAUAUUUUCGUUAUUUUAGAAUAUCAAAUUGGUUUCCUGUACUUAAUAAAUUGAAUUUUUUUGAAACGAAAACAGAAAAAAAAUCGUGAAUAUGGGCAGUCUACUUUCGAUCCCUGUUUGCUAAAGGUGACGAUAAAGAACCAGCAACACCCGAAAUGACGACAAACAAAGAAAUAAACAUUGAGGAGAGACAGAUAAAUGAAGCAUUAAGAAAAUUAAAAAAAACAUAGAAAUCACCAGGACAGAACAGAAUAUCGAAUGAACUCAAAGUAAGGAGGAAAAGAUCUGAUCAAACGACUGUUAAAACUAAUCCGGACUAAACCGGAGAAUUACACAACACAACACUAAAAUUAACAACCAAAGUGAUCAAAAACAAACUGAAUACAAUUAUAAGCCCAGCAUAAGAACAAACAACAAGUUUUGUAGGUCGGGAAGAUGCAAGUGCAAGAAAAAUCAUUAGAAUACAACACAAACAGGCAUAUUUAUGUUUCAUGGACCUUAAGAAGACGUUUGACAGAGUUACAGUAAAGGAGACGUUGUCCGUUUAUUGUACGCACGAGAGAUAGCUUUAGAAAUAAUCAAAACGAUCCAAAAUGUCUAUCAAUAAUAAUAUUAUUCUACUAUAUUAAAAAUUAUCUAAUAAAUUAUUUCAAACAGCAACUUUUUAUUAUGAUUAAUGUAACAUAAUCUGUUUUAAAUCGUAUUUAAUUUGGAAAGUCCUUCAAAAAAUGUUUAUAAUUCCCAUAUUUUUUGGAUUGUUAUAUAAAGCAAUAUUAUGUAUUUUUAUAUUAAUACUCUGACUUGGUUUACUUAUCCAUUAUCAGCUUGUGAAAGUGUUUUAGAUCCUCUGAACUUCUUUGUCAAUAAUUGAGAACAUACACAUUUUUAUAAUGAAUCUUUUGCAAUUUUUUCGACUAGUUUGGACAUUAAAGAUGAAUAAUUUAUUUACUGACCUAGCAAAAAUUUCAGAAUUUUGCUAGGUCAGGAAUUCCAGAAUUUUGCAACCAAACAUUGGUUGAUACUGUUUUACUUAAAUUUUGCUGAUUUAAUAUAAUCGGGUUAUUGUUUUCAGUUUUUAAUAAUAUAAGAGUCAGACUGUCGGACUUUCUUCAUGAAUUUUUGUUUCUCUUGUCCUCAUGGUUCACUUUCCAUUGAGAAUAAUAUGACACUUUUGCGUAAAUAUCUUAGACCAUAAUAACACCUGUUGUUACAUAUGGGACAGAAACAACGACGAUUAACAGGAAAGAGGAAGAUAGCUUUCUGAAAUUUGAAAGAAAAAUAAUGAGAAUGAUACUGGGCCACAAUGUAACAAGAGAGGGACAAAGCAUAUUGAAAACAAAUGCCGAAAUUGAAGAAGAAUUAAAGGAGGAUAGAUAAAAUCUCUUCGCCUAGAAUAUAUAGGACAUAUACAGAGACGCCCACACUCACAUAUAAAGGAUAACUAAUUCACACCACUGUGGCCCAGGUGUAGAGGAAGGUUUAGAGUUUAGAAGAAGAUGACCGGAUCAUGCAGCAAAAAGACACAGCAAGCUAUAAAUGACAUAGGUGAGUAAUCCAUCCACCUCGCCCAAGAAUAGGAUUUUGAACGCCAUUUCGUUAGCUGCAAUCCCUAGGGAUUGUAAUGCUUGGUGAAUGAAUGAAUGAAAUAAUCAAAUUAUUAAUGCACUUCAAUAGAAAGACCAGUUACCACAAAAUUUUUGGUUCCAACAAGAUGAAGAGCUUCCCCACUAUUAUCGACGAGUUAGAAAUGUUUUUGAUUGCGAAUUUUUCAAAUUUAUGGAUUGGACGUAGAGGACGACAUAGAGUGGCCUGCUCUUUCACCGGAUCUUAAUCCGUUAGAUUUUUUAUUUGGGGUUAUCUAAAAUCAUGUGAUUGAUUACAUUAGACGAUCAACAUGUUUGUAAGAUUUGAAACGAAGAAGUAUUGAUAAAUGUGAACUAAUAUUUAUGUGGACUUGGAAAGGGUGACUCACGAAUUUAAUAAUAAUUUUGCACAUUGUCAGGAAUGGCAAGCAUUUUGAACAUUUGAUGCUUUUUUGAAUUAUUAGUCCCAUUUUUUCCUUUAACUAUGAAGUGCUUUAUUUUUCCUUUUAACCAAUUUUUUCUAGCAAACUUGGUUUUAUGUGAAUUAGGGAUAACAAGUUCUUCUCGCAAUAUUUGGCGCAAAUCAUCUAGUUGUAUAUGACAAAAAUCAAAAAUUAUAUUUUUUUGAGAAAACAUUCAUUAUAAUCCUAUCUAUCAUAAAGUAUAGGAGAGAAAUUUAUUAUCUAAUAUAAAACUGACUUUUAAAUUGUCCUUUCAAAGCCAACAAACACAUUUACAUAUUAUAUUCAUAAAACUAAUUUUUUGUGCGUGUUCUCUAUUAUGUAUAUCAAUUUAUGUGAAAAUUAUUAAAGUGUUUUAAAUGCGUAUAUUAAGUAUCUUCAUUUUGGGUGCGUAAUCCUAAAAACGGUUAUAAAUAAUCGUUUCUGAAAUACUGUUCUUUUGCAAUAAUAAUUUUUAAUAAGUGGGUUACCAGCCAUUAUUAAUAGAAUAUUAUGGGAUUCGAAAUUUAUGAAAUUAUUAUUAUACUGAUAUUAGUGGAAAAUUACGGAAACUUGAUACGAUUUUUUGCAAUAAUCAUUUUUUAUAAGUGGCUUGCCACCUAUGAAUAGAAUAUUAUAAAAUUCGAAAUUUACGAAAUUAAUAAUGAUGUUAGUGGAAAAUUACGGACAAUUGAUGGUUAUUUCGACUGUUAUAGUUCAGUCAAUAAAGGCUUUUUACCUUGCUACAAAUAGGCGACAUUAGUUCUUAGAUGAUGUCUAUGACAAUGUUUUUUAUUAACCUUCGGCAGGGCGCGCCUUUAAAAAAUAUAUCGGAGGGCAUGUAGCAGCAAUUUGUUGCCAUGUAGUUAUAAAUAUGUUAUAUUCUCAUUUUUUUUUCUUAAGGGCGUCACACCAAAACUAAAAGAAAAACAUAAAUAAAACAAAAACCAUUAAGAACUCGUUUUUUUGCAGAACACUUUAUUUGAGCUUCCAAUUGUUGGAAUAUGAUUAUAUUCAGUUUGUGUAUUUGUCAUAAUAAAGAAAUAUAUAAAAAUAUUAACACAUGAAACCUUCCAGCUCAUUUCUUUAAAAUCUCUCAUAUGAAUAUACAUAUUCGUCACUGUUGUAAACAGAAAAACCUUAUUUUUUCAGUAUUGUAAGCCUAUGCUAACAAAUAUUUUGAGUUUUCAAAGAAAGUAUUUUAAUUCACAAUUUUUUGGUUAUAGAAAUUAAAAAACGUAUUAUUUUUUAUUGUAAUCAACCAGGUUGGCUGUCAAAAAUGUUGAGAUUUUGUUUCAACUGUCUAAAAAUGUAUUACUAUUACUCCACAACUUUGCAGCACAUGGUAGGCCCGGGCCUGAUUAUUUACCGUAAUAAAAAGUUUCGUUUGUAAUUUAAACAAUCUAAAUGUGGCCCUUUUAUAAGGACUUUAUGUCUCGAUGGUCUUUGCUAUUUCUUUUUUAUGGAGAUCCUACAAUUCCUUUUUUCCCUUAUAUUCAUCCUAGUCAUUAGCCCUUAAAAUUACUCCAGGUUUUCCUUAUUUUGUAGUAGGUUCUCAUUCAUAUGUACAUGUUAAUAUAGUUGCCUAGAUAGGUGUACUAAAUGAGAUCAAAAUUAACCCUUGUAAAAUCUGGUAAAAGUUCUCAAAACUCUGUGGCUCUCAAAAAAGCCAGUUCAGGACCAGCCUUUUUAGCCUAACAAUCAAAUAACAAAUUUAAUAAAAUAAAAUGGAUACCUGAAAGACUUUUUUCUACUUAGUAACUAUUUUUUAUGCAUUUUCAUUGAUAAUGAGAUCGAUUUUUUUUAUAUUAUUAAAAUUUUAAAUAUUAUAGGAUUAGAUACGCUGUUGUAUUGAAAACUCAAAAUAUUUCGACAGUCUAGGUAUUUUUUGAAACAUCUUGUAUGAACGGAUUGGGGCAAUGAUGCAUACUGUGAUACAACAGCUGAAAAGCUGCAAAAGGGGGCUGAAAAGCCACCGUGUAAUUAGAAAUAUUUAAUGAAAAAGAAAAAAUAGUUUAUAGUGUCUUGUAUAAUAUUAGCUGAGUGUACUAUACCGGACUACUGAGAUAAGUGGUUUAAAAUUAACGGUUUUUAUGAUAUCAGUAAUUUAGUUUACAGGUGAGUUAAGUAAAACAUUUACUAUUAAAAAAAGGUUGCUGUACUAUUGUCGAUCGCAUUCAAAUGGUUGUUGUUGUUGCAACAACAAUGCUUUCAAUUUGCUUUCAAUUGUUUGGAACCUAACCUUCUUCUUCUUCAGGUGCCAUCUCAGCUACGAAGGUUGGCAAUCAUCAUAGCCAUUUUAAUUUUUGAGGCAGUAGCUCUAAAUAGUUGUUUUGAACUGCAUCCAAGCCAUUCUCUCAAAUUCCUCAACCAUGAAAUUCGUCUUCUUCCGAUGCUUCUUCUACCAUCUAUAUUUCCUUGCAUUAUGAGUCGUAGGAUGCCAUACUCCUCGCCCCGCAUCACAUGUCCGAGAUACUGUAGCUUGCUUUCUUUAGUUGUAAGUUCAACUUCUUUUUCUUUACCUAUUCUUCUCAGUACUUCAUUGUUCGAAACUCUAUCUACCCAGGAAACCCUCAUAAUUCUUCAAUAGGUCCACAUUCCAAAGGCGUUGAGUCGUGUCAUUGUCUCUAUGUUGUUCUGAAGCUAUUUCCUUGUGGCAUUUUUAUAAUUAAGUAUUUUCUAUGGGAAAAAAGCCACAAUUUUACUAAAAAAUGAAUUUAUUUAACGUUUAGAAGCCCAUAUCGGGUUUCGUUGUCAAAAUACAAAAUACUAUGAAUAAAUAAUAUAAAUAGUAUUUUGUAUUUUGACAACGAAACCCGAUUUGGGCUUCGAAACGUUAAAUAAAUUCAUUUUUUAGUAAAAUUGUGGCUUAUUUCCCAUAGAAAAUACUUAAUCAUUGUCUCUAGAUUUAACGUCCAUGAUUCCACUCCAUAGUUAUCUUAGUCUCUGGACAUUAAUAAACUUCACAAUAUCUGGAUCUAUGUAUAGCUGGUAUAGUUCAAAGUUAAAAAUAAAAUAAAAACUCCAUUUUUAUUCAGUUGCAAUGCGAAGGCAAAACAAUCUUAUUUUUCAAUUAGAAUACGGAGCGCAGUCCAGCCCUCUGAAUCGACGAUUUUCGACUCUUGUUGGAGUCUCAUCGGAGAGAAUGUAGGCCUGCUACUCCAUACUCCAAUUGACCAACACCGAGAGUUUAUUCCACACACCGCAACUGACGUGAAUGGACUAGGUGACUAGCGUCAUCUGACAAUUGAAAGAUGAAGUAGUUUUCAAUCCUAAUAGCAAUAUUAAUAAUAUUUAAAAACAUUAAAACAUUACUAAAAGAUUUUUAAAUUGAAAACUUAUUCCAUUCACGUCAGUUGCGGUGUGUGGGAUAAACUCUCGGUGUUGGUCAAUUGGAGUAUGGAGUAGGAGGUCUACGUUCUCUCCGAUGAGACUCCAACAAGAGUCGAAAAUCGUCGAUUCAAAGUGCUGGACUGCGCUCCGUAUUCUAGGUGAAAAAUAAGAUUGUUUUGCCUUCGCAUUGCAACUGAAUAAAAAUGGAAUUUUUAUUUUACUUUUAUAUUGGUCGUUACUUCUUUGAGUAACUAGGUCCAUUUUCUGUUGGAAUUUACCAGCUGAACAGACGUGGUCGUGAAUUGUAAGUUUUUGAAUUCCUUCUUGUCUUCUUCGCUUCAGCAUCCAUCUGGCUUGCAAAUUUUAGAAGCCUUGGAGGUGUUACCAAGAAAAUAGACCAAUAAGUUUUCAGUUUAAAAAUCUUUUAGUAAUGUUUUAAUAUUUUUAAAUAAUAUUAAUAUUGCUAUUAGGAUUGAAAACUACUUCAUCUUUCAUAGUUCAAAGUUCUUUAUAAUUCCAUUUUUCCUUUGAGAAAUAGGCAUAUGUGCAAUCUAUUCAUCGCAAGAAGAAAAAAAAAUGUACGCCAUUUUCUUGAAAUAUAUUUUUUUAAUUAAUCUAACGAUACAACAGGCAAUAACUUUGAUUAUGAGUUGAAAAAAGUUUCUAAAUCAAGGGUCCUAAAAUUUCUUAGAUUUCCACAAGUAUGUCAAACAACAAUAACUAACAAAUCAUAAAACUUUAAUUUUAGAAUAUUUAUGGAAUUUCUCGAAUAAAUAUGCAACUUUUGAAUAUAUUACGAAAUAAAGCAAUUAAAAAUUAAUUAUUGAUUAUUUAAGUCGUGGAAAAUUCUUCCGAAUUAAUUUACAAUAAAAAAAUAUUAAAUUACAAAUCCGUUAUUUAUUAUCUAGGUGCAGGUAUUUUUAAAUCGACCAACUGAAUAAUAACUUAAAAGAUUAAAACAUCAUUUUAUGCAAAUUGUGAUAAAGUAUAAAUAUUAUUUUCUCAGAUGCCUACUCUCGAUAAUGUAGGCGUAGCAAAGAAAGCGGUUAUAAAUAUUUUUAAUAACAAACACUAGAACAGUGUAGGCACACUCAAUCUUGAAGAAAAAAGUUUUAAACUUGAUAGAACAAAAAAAUGUAUAUCCAAAAUAUUUAUUUUAAGGUAGAGUUACUGACACCUGAUACCUUAGUAGAGGUAUUCGAUAGGGAGAUGCUCUGUCGCCUAAGUUGUUCAUUAAAUACUGCACUUAUAAAUGCUUUAUGGUUACUUGAAUGGGAAAAUAAAGUAAUAAAAACAAUCAAAAACAAUAUUACGGAGAAGCAAAAACUUGGUUUGUAUAAUGGCAUAUUAUUGCUUUAUUAAAAACUUUAAAAAAUAAUCCAAAUGGAUUAUAAAUUUCCAGAACGUUUUCGAUCUUAUCAGAUCAUCAUCAGCAAAAGAUUCUAUUUUGUAGUUGCUUAUCUUAUGAAGAAUACAAACCGACUGUCGGUCUCUGUCCUUCACAAAUCCAGCGUAUUCAGGUACUAUUUGGUUGCCAACUUAUGAAGUUUUCUAGAUGACGUUGCAGGAUGUAGAGAAUCACCAUACUGGCGUGUGAUAUUGGAGCUAAUAGUAGUCUAGUAGUAGUUGUUACAAUAAAUUAUUUGUUGGACCUUUGUUAUGUAGAGAAUCUAUCUUAUAUACUUUACCUCUAAGGGUUGCUAAAUUGAUAAUUUUUUUAGAUUCUAAUUUUCUCUUUAUAGUCAUCAUUAGGUUUUUCCAAAGAUAUCUCUCAAGCAGGUGGUAAGUUGUUUAUGAUAUGAAGACGGGAUGAUCCUCAUAGCAUAUUAUUUUAAAAUAUAGCUGAAUUUUUAAGUUGAAGCAUUAUCUCUUGGUGGUAAAGACAAAAACCAGCAAACUUUAGACAAAUUUUCAACAUAGUACUUCAACCUUCCUGUUUUACAUAUCGUACAUAUAAACUACAUGUUUUAAACUCAACAAAUUAUAAUAUUUUUAAAAAAUAUUAUCGCUGAUGUCGAUAAAUGACAGAUUUUUGUUCUGUUGACGUUUGAACCACUCAUCUCAGAAUUUCGUUUUGCCGUGUUAAUAUAAAAUGUGUCCAAUGGACACUUUGGCAAUGCCAGUAUUUAGCUUUACACCCUGUAUAUAUAAAGAACCUAGAAUAUAAAAAGAUCACUGUAUUGUUAUAGAUGUUGUCCAUUUUUGUUUAGCAUGGUGGCAUUCUAUGUACAUAUUUCACUGUGUACCAUAAGACUGUUUUUAUUAUUAAUAUUAUUUUCAUUAUGUCUUAUAAUAUAUGCUAGUUCUAGGAUGAGGGAACAGUUUUUGGGUGCCAGCCUCUUCAACAAACCAUCAAAAACUUUGAGAGUUGAUUCCUGAAUUUAAAUAAAACAAUUAUAUAAAAAUAAAUCAAGCUGAAAUCACUAAAAAAAAUUAUUUUAAUUUCUGUAGAAUCUUUUUUGGUUUAAAAAAUGUCGUGUUUGCCUUAUGCUACCUCUUUGAGCUAUAUUUAACGUUUCACUGUAAUUUUUAUUGCCAGCUACAAUAAGGAAUCAUAGAAAAAAGAGACUCUUGGCCAUUUUGAUAGUCAACGUGUCUAGAGGCAAGGUAAACAUUCUAGUAAAUAGGGACAGCAGUGACACAAACAUUUUUGUUCUGUGAUCUUCUUGUCUUUUAUUUCUUGUCUUGUAUGUAAUAAUUAUUCUUCUUGGAGUUUAUCUUCUCCAGAGUUCGUAUAUUUAUAAGUAUGUUUCUUUAUAUUCUUCUCUUUUUAGAUAUGUACAUUUUUUUACUCUAAAAAAAGAGAUCAGUUUUGUUGGAUGCUUUAUUGAGUUAACCUUGCAGCAACCUGGCGAAUUCAUUGUUUCUCAUUACUAAAAAGAUCAUUUUUCUCAUCAUUUCCUUCAAACUACUCAACUCCGUGAAUAUUGAAUGAAAAUAUCAGUAAGUAAGCAAUUAGGUAUCACGUUUUUUUUUAAUUUUUUUGGCUUACUUUUUUUUGAAGUCGUCUGUAGUCGGUUGUGAACUGGUUGUACUGGAUCCAGUUGGCUUAUUGUACAUUUUGGCUAUUUAUUCAUGAUACUUAUUUCAGAAUUCUGGAAUAAUGUACCAGCGGAUACAGGUGUAGUCCAUAUGUACCUACCAUAUAUUUUUGCAGUUAAUACUUGGAAGUCUUGGUUAUCAAAAACUGUUUGCCGAAACUAAUGUAGUGUCAAUGUAAUGGUUGGUUCUUUCAGGUUCUCUGGCACAGACUCUGAAGCUUGUCUCCAUGAUACAGACCCAUGGUAUGCAGGUUUUUCUUGAGUAGAGCUAGAGAUAUUGAUUGGAUAUGAUUCGUUUUUGGCUUCUGCAGUACUACAGUCUUAUUAGCACACGUCCUUCCAAUAUAUAAUUUGUCAUGUUUAUAUCCAUCUGUAUAUCAGGUAUAUCUAAUCCUAGCUGAGAAUGGGUUAUAUUACUCUGCCCCUUUCUCACAGGCAAAUGUCUACUUGAAAACGUAUUGUCAGAAGCCAUCAUCCAUAAGGUACAAGUCACUAUGUCAUUCAGGUUUUCUUUUCUAGCCUACAGUAUCUCAUUUUCGUCUCCCCCAUUAUAACGAUAUACAGAGGAAUAAGGUCUGAGGUCCUUCAUAGCUGCUGUUGGUGUGCCCCUCAGAGCCUCUGUAAUUUUAAAGCAAAGUAGUUUUUGCCCCUUGCUUGAUUUGAGGAUGGCACUCUUUUGUUGCAUCUUUGGCCAUCACACCACGGAUACAUGUUAGUUAGAAACCUAAUAUAACAUGUUUGAUUUUGAAUGGUUCUCUAUUUCUUGGUCCUCGUUCUAUUUGCUGAUUCUAAGUAAGAAAACUUCGAAUCUAGUAAUUUACUUUACUCACCAGGUUUCAAAUUAUACCAUUCAAAUUAAGAAGGGCCAUUCUGUAACUGUCAUCAGAAAUUAUUACAUUAUUUUUGUCUGUGUGCCAUUAAAUUUGACAUGGGAUAACAUGACACCAGGAUAUUUGCAUAGAUCAUGACAUUAUGUCGAUUGUUGCUGCGUUUUGCUGCAAAGAAAACUUUGUCCAUUUUUAUUAGGAAUUGCAAUAUAGCAGCUACUAUUGUCUUUAUAGGCAGCUCUAUUGUUGUUUAUGCAGUUGGUAAAGAAGUAAGAAGAGUUUUUUCGAGAUAGUAGACAAGAACUAUCCUUCGUGUCUGCUUUACAUUUUUAUCAAAAUUUCUUACUUUUGUUUUAUUCAUCAGUAAUCUUUUUCUUUAUGAUUGUUAUGCAAUAUAUUUUUGGAAAAAUAUGAGUAGAAGUAUCUGUCUUGAUGUUUUAAAUCGUUUUUUUUUUUUUCGUUUAUGCUCUUGACCAGUUUGCCCAAUCUAUACAUCGCCUCUGAACAAGAAAUGGUAUAGAAGAAAGAACCUGAAUAUUUACUAGAAAAUCAGUUGGUGACCAAAAACUGACGUUUAUCUCUUCUAUGGGCCAAGGAUUUUCUAUUUCUUCUAAUUAUUGAUGCUCCUUUAUGGAAAUUCAACAGCUGAAUCACAUUGACUAAGGAUGUGGUUUCCAAUAAAUGAGACCUAUUGGUCUACCCUUCCUAUUUAACUUCUGAAGAUUAUAAUAUAAAUGUAUAGUGGAACGUUUAAUAAUAGCCCAUAGAUUGCUUCGACACAAAACAACUUAGUACCUAUAUGAUUUGUUGUAUUCAUAGGUCUACUGCAGACAUUAAAUCAUUUUCUGUAACUGUUACUUUGUCACUGUUACUCUUAACAGUAACAUAACGAGUAGAAAAAACCAAAAACUGUUCCCGAAUCCUUCAUUCUAUCCUCUCUAUUCCAGUACAAUCUCCCUUCUUGUAUGUAAAAUUCAGCAAAAUUAUACUUACAGACCUAUUUGAGGGUCACUCAUACGUAUCUAAAAUUCAAAAGGACAGAAUUUUUUAAUAUAGAUGAUAAAAAUGAUGUAAUGUAAAAUGUAAACUCUGAGAUUUUUUAGUUAAUUGAAUGUACAAAAUAUUUGUAACUGGUAAUGUCAUGAAACUAUGUCUGUAUUUAUAAAUCCGUACAGCCAGUUGAAUCCUGUUUAAUUAUAAAAUAUAAAUAUUUAUCACAUACGAUAUAA